AUGGCAGUUUUAAUGUCUCACACUUUUCACGGCUCAUUGGCAUACAGAUCAAUCCGCGGCCAUGGGUUGCCAUAAAGUUGAUAGCAGCAGGAGUCACUUUUUCAGCGGCCAUAAUGA
rnacentral:antisense_RNA from 1 species